GCUAGAGCCAUUUCACCCUGCAGCUCUCACCUGGUUUCCCACUGAAGAUAAGCAGCGUUGAGCCUGGACAGCACCUUGAUGGGAGACCUUCUGGGGGAAAAGUAAGGUUGCUGCUGGAA
rnacentral:rRNA from 1 species